UACGAAGGGGGCUAGCGUUGUUCGGAAUGACUGGGCGUAAAGGGUGUGUAGGCGGUUAUACGCGUCAGAUGUGAAAUCCCCGGGCUUAACCUGGGAAUGGCAUUUGAUACGGUAUAGCUAGAGAUUGGUAGAGGGUAGUGGAAUUGCGAGUGUAGAGGUGAAAUUCGUAGAGAUUCGCAGGAACACCGGUGGCGAAGGCGGGUCUCUGGGCAACAACUGACGCUGAGGAGCGAAAGCGUGGGGAGCGAACAGG
rnacentral:rRNA from 1 species